GACGAACCGUGCAAACGUUGUUCGGAAUCACUGGGCUUAAAGGGCGCGUAGGCGGGCCAGCCAGUCUGUGGUGAAAGCCUCCAGCUUAACUGGAGAAGUGCCGUGGAUACUGCUGGCCUCGAGGAGGAUAGGGGCAUCUGGAACGGUCGGUGGAGCGGUGAAAUUCGUAGAUAUUCGCAAGAACACCAGUGGCGAAGGCGGCUCACUGGCCCGGUACUGACGCUGAGGUGCGAAAGCGUGGGGAGCAAACAGG
rnacentral:rRNA from 1 species